AUUAAAAAGAUGUGGCAGCCAU
rnacentral:siRNA from 1 species